rnacentral:snRNA from 1 species
UUGUAUUACUAUCAACCCAAACC